rnacentral:rRNA from 1 species
AUUGAACGCUGGCGGCAGGCUUAACACAUGCAAGUCGAGCGGAGAUGAGGUGCUUGCACCUUAUCUUAGCGGCGGACGGGUGAGUAAUGCUUAGGAAUCUGCCUAUUAGUGGGGGACAACAUUCCGAAAGGAAUGCUAAUACCGCAUACGUCCUACGGGAGAAAGCAGGGGAUCUUCGGACCUUGCGCUAAAAGAUGAGCCUAGGCCGGAUUAGCUAGUUGGUGGGGUAAAGGCCUAACAAGGCGACGAUUUGUAGCGGGUCUGAGUGGAUGGUCCGCCACACUGGGACUGAGACACGGCCCAGACUCCUACGGGAGGCAGCAGUGGGGAAUAUUGGACAAUGGGGGGAACCCUGAUCCAGCCAUGCCGCGUGUGUGAAGAAGGCCUUAUGGUUGUAAAGCACUUUAAGCGAGGAGGAGGCUACUGAGACUAAUACUCUUGGAUAGUGGACGUUACUCGCAGAAUAAGCACCGGCUAACUCUGUGCCAGCAGCCGCGGUAACAC